CCUACGGGAGGCUGCAGUGAGGGAUAUUGGUCAAUGGGGGAAACCCUGAACCAGCAACGCCGCGUGAGGGAAGACGGUUUUCGGAUUGUAAACCUCUGUCUUUUGUGAAGAUAAUGACGGUAGCAGUGGAGGAAUCUCCGGCUAACUACGUGCCAGCAGCCCCGGUAAUACGUAGGCAGCAAGCGUAGUCCGGAUUUACUGGGUGUUAAGGGUGCGUAGGCGGGUUUGCAAGUGAGAAGUGAAAGUUAUGGGCUUAACCCAUGAACUGCUAUUGAAACUGCAGAGCUUGAGUGGAGUAGAGGUAGGCGGAAUUCGCGGGGUAGCGGUGAAAUGCGUAGAGAUCGGGAGGAACACCAGUGGCGAAGACAGCAUACUGGGCUCUAACUGACGCUGAGGCACGAAAGCGUGGGUAGCAAACAGGAUUAGAGACCCUUGUAGUC
rnacentral:rRNA from 1 species